GACGAACGCUGGCGGCGUGGAUAAGACAUGCAAGUCGAACGGAUUAUCAUCUGUAGCAAUACAGGUGGUAGUUAGUGGCGUAAGGGUGCGUAACACGUGGGCAACCUGCCCGGAAGAGUGGGAUAGCUCGCCGAAAGGCGAAUUAAUACCGCAUGAGGCUAGGGAGGACAUCCUCCUGAGGCCAAAGUUGGUGAAAGCUAACGCUUCUGGAUGGGCCCGCGGCCUAUCAGCUAGUUGGUUGAGGUAACGGCUCACCAAGGCUAUGACGGGUAGCUGGUCUGAGAGGACGACCAGCCACACUGGAACUGAGACACGGUCCAGACACCUACGGGUGGCAGCAGUCGAGAAUUUUUCUCAAUGGGGGAAACCCUGAAGGAGCGACGCCGCGUGGAGGAUGAAGGUCUUCGGAUUGUAAACUCCUGUCAUUGGUGAACAAGGUCCUACGGGUAACUACCGUGGGGAUUGAUAGUAGCCGAAGAGGAAGAGACGGCUAACUCUGUGCCAGCCGCCGCCGUAACAC
rnacentral:rRNA from 1 species